UCGCUCCCCACCCCCCGCCCCACCCCAUCCGCCCCUUCCCUUUGCAGAGUGUGAUUGUUUUGUCUGGAAAAAAAAAUCCAAAGUAUAUAACAAGGGGAGAACAGUUAGUGCUGAUUUUCAUUUGCAUACAUUUUCAUAUAUUUUGGUGAAAAUAAUAGACUAGUGCGAGCUGGGCUUAGAGGACUCAGUGUAAAGGGAAGGCUUAGGCUCUGACGGUGCUGGAGAGUUAAGAAUGUGCCUUCCCUCCACCCCCACCCCAGGCACCUUAUUUAAAAAAAAACAAAAAACACCUUCUUUUAUUUAAAAAAAAAAAUCUAACCUUGGAAGUUUGCUCGAUUUAUCUCAAAAUCCCAGUCACAUUACUUCCUGAGAACAAAAGGUCUGCUGAAGUUGCCUGAUGAAAAGUCCAGCCUUCCAGAAUCUUCCAUUCUACAAGUGCUACCUACAGUGACUCUGAGAGAUUGAUUAUUUAUUACGGAGAUGGGAAGAAAAGGAAACGACCAGCCCGUCACACGUCCCUGGCCCAGAUCUGCCAGUCUCUCUCUUCCCGGUCUCAGGAAACUGUGCUGACAGUCCUCGAGGUGCGGUGGGGAGGUAUGAUUGGUUUUAAUCUAGCUGUUUCUGAUAAAAUGUGCUGGUUUGGGGAGGCCUCUUUCAAGUUGAUGCGAGUUGGAGUUUUAAAGCAGUGUAGGGUGGAAUGCUUCAAACGAGGGGAGGGUGGA
rnacentral:lncRNA from 1 species